GGGCCGGAUGCUGGGGUCGCGACUCAUAAUCGCUCGGUUGCAGGUUCGAUCCCUGCCGGGCCCA
rnacentral:tRNA from 1 species